AACGAACGCUGGCGGCAUGCCUAACACAUGCAAGUCGAACGAACCCUUCGGGGUUAGUGGCGCACGGGUGCGUAACGCGUGGGAAUCUGCCCUUUGCUUCGGAAUAACAGUUAGAAAUGACUGCUAAUACCGGAUAAUGUCGCAAGACCAAAGAUUUAUCGGCAAAGGAUGAGCCCGCGUAAGAUUAGCUAGUUGGUGGGGUAAUGGCCUACCAAGGCGACGAUCUUUAGCUGGUCUGAGAGGAUGAUCAGCCACACUGGGACUGAGACACGGCCCAGACUCCUACGGGAGGCAGCAGUGGGGAAUAUUGGACAAUGGGCGAAAGCCUGAUCCGGCAAUGCCGCGUGAGUGAUGAAGGCCUUAGGGUUGUAAAGCUCUUUUACCAGGGAUGAUAAUGACAGUACCUGGAGAAUAAGCUCCGGCUAACUCCGUGCCAGCAGCCG
rnacentral:rRNA from 1 species